rnacentral:tRNA from 1 species
GCGGUGGUGUUGGAAUUGGUAGACAAGCAAGACUAAGGAUCUUGUGGGCUUUGGCCCGUGUGAGUUCGAGUCUCAUUCGCCGCA